GAUGAACGCUGGCGGCGUGCCUAAAACAUGCCAGUCGAGCGAACAGACGAGGAGCUUGCUCCUCUGACGUUAGCGGCGGACGGGUGAGUAACACGUGGAUAACCUACCUAUAAGACUGGGAUAACUUCGGGAAACCGGAGCUAAUACCGGAUAAUAUAUUGAACCGCAUGGUUCAAUAGUGAAAGACGGUUUUGCUGUCACUUAUAGAUGGAUCCGCGCCGCAUUAGCUAGUUGGUAAGGUAACGGCUUACCAAGGCAACGAUGCGUAGCCGACCUGAGAGGGUGAUCGGCCACACUGGAACUGAGACACGGUCCAGACUCCUACGGGAGGCAGCAGUAGGGAAUCUUCCGCAAUGGGCGAAAGCCUGACGGAGCAACGCCGCGUGAGUGAUGAAGGUCUUCGGAUCGUAAAACUCUGUUAUUAGGGAAGAACAAAUGUGUAAGUAACUAUGCACGUCUUGACGGUACCUAAUCAGAAAGCCACGGCUAACUACGUG
rnacentral:rRNA from 1 species